UACGGGGGGGGCAAGCGUUGUUCGGAAUUACUGGGCGGAAAGGGUUUGUAGGUGGCCGGCUAAGUCAGACGUGAAAUCCCUCAGCUUAACUGGGGAACUGCGUCUGAAACUGAUCGGCUCGAGUGCAGGAGAGGAACGCGGAAUUCCAGGUGUAGCGGUGAAAUGCGUAGAUAUCUGGAGGAACACCGGUGGCGAAGGCGGCGUUCUGGACUGCAACUGACACUGUAAAACGAAAGCCAGGGGAGCGAAUGGG
rnacentral:rRNA from 1 species